GUGCUGAUAUUGAAAGCUGUCCAUAUUUUGAAUUAGUGAUUGGUCAUUUCAGGGUUGUUUCUUUUUUCUCAAGUUGCUUCUUGAAGUUCAUUCUCACCCAUGUGUUGUUUGUCUUUGUGUGUUUAUGUAUGCACUCAUGUGCAACUUUUGGCAAUUGAGGUUGUACCAGUCCCCACUAAAGCAUAUUUUUUUCAGGGAAACGCCAUAGCAGCUUAGUACCAAGAUUUAUGCUUUACCAAUAGCUAAUCUAGUGGAAUAUGCCCAAAACAUUAAGCAUAAAUAGCAGAGAAAAAGAAAAAGGAGGGGGAAAAAGGGGGGGAGGAACAAAUUAAGAACUCAUAAAUUUCCCAGAAAUAAUGCAGAAACCUUGCAGUCUGAGCAGUGGCAAUCGCUUUGCCCAGCUUAUCAGUCAGAACUCAACCAGAAGAGGAUUCUCUUUGAUUUUGAAAAACUGCUCUUUAAUAGUCUGAGGUUUUUAAAGCCAUGACACACAAUGUGGUUUUUUUCCUGUGAGUUAAAAUUUUGUUUUUACUUAGAAUAUAUUGGCCUACAUAACCAAAAAAAAAAAGCCAGAAGAAAUUACAAGCACAUUGAUUGCUGUUACAUAAAAUUACAUUCCUGGAGUGUCAUCACUGGAGCUGGUGUGAGGGAGUGUGGUUAGAGGUAGAGUACCACAAGUGAACUCAAGAAUUUGGAGAAGCCAACAUAAAGCUUCCUUUUCAGGUAAGUGUAACAUUAACAUUUUCCUGAAAAGGAUUUUGUAUCCUUUUCCUUUGUCUCCUGAAAUGGAUACUUUGUCAACAAAGUAUCUUAAAUAUCUGAGAUCAGAGUUGGAGCGACACAAGUAUGUGUUCUUUUCAAGGCUCAGUUUCUUUUAUUGAUAUUCAGAAAUUAUGCUAGGCUAGGUUAGUAUCCAUAAUCACUGAUUCUGAGUUGACAAAGAUAAAGAACACACUUGGGGUACAAGGAUGAGCUGUUAGUUGCAACAGACCUGACAGAUUCCAUAAAAUUGACCCCUCCUCUCUUUUCUGUUACCAUAGUCUGUGGUGACAUAAUUUGGCCAUUGCUAAUCCAUGCACCUCUGUGAAUAUUUGGUAGUUUCUCAGACCUGUUAGUCCAGAUCUCUGUAUGCUUUAGACAUCCUUCCAUCAGCCACUCCGUAGUUUUGGUGGUUAAUUUUUUGUUAAAAGAUACUUUUGUUUUCUUUUAAAAGAAAACAUUGUACAGAGUAAGCCUAAUUUAGUGAGAAAUAAAGAUCUCGGC
ensembl:lncRNA